AUACGUAGGGUGCAAGCGUUAAUCGGAAUUACUGGGCGUAAAGCGUGCGCAGGCGGUUUUGUAAGACAGUGGUGAAAUCCCCGGGCUCAACCUGGGAACUGCCAUUGUGACUGCAAGGCUGGAGUGCGGCAGAGGGGGAUGGAAUUCCGCGUGUAGCAGUUAAAUGCGUAGAUAUGCGGAGGAACACCGAUGGCGAAGGCAAUCCCCUGGGCCUGCACUGACGCUCAUGCACGAAAGCGUGGGGAGCAAACAGGAUUAGAUACCCUGGUAGUCCAUGCCCUAAACGAUGUCAACUGGUUGUUGGGGAUUUAUUUUCUCAGUAACGAAGCUAACGCGUGAAGUUGACCGCCUGGGGAGUACGGCCGCAAGGUUAAAACUCAAAUGAAUUGACGGGG
rnacentral:rRNA from 1 species